rnacentral:lncRNA from 1 species
UCCACACCCCUGCCCCGCCUCCUCCCGGUAGGAAACUCCGGGACCCUGCAAGGGAUGACUCACCCCAGUGAUUCAACCGCGCCACCGAGCGCGGAGCUGCCCUGGAGGACGCAGGCGGGUCUAGUUGCCCGGGUCCCCCAAGGCCCCCGGAUUCACCCAGGCCCGCGACUCCGACGUGCAGCUUAGGUGGGUUGCAGGUCUAUGGCAGGAAAGGGAGGGCGCCUUGGAAGAAUUCUUCCCUUCCAUUUGGUGAUAAAGUGGGAGAGGCGGCAUUUACAACAUUUAAUAGAAAGCACGGGCUCUGGGCUCCCCUCGGGCAGCGGAGGGCAUUUCCCGGAUGCUUUGCCCACCUGGGGCAGAAGCUCGGGACCUGCAGCGAAGUAAACGUGUGGCUGUGAGCAGGGCCCUCUCCCAGCCACGGUGGCUUCUUCUACCCCACGAAGGUCAAGAAUACCUGGCCUGCCCACCUCGCGGGGCCCUUAGCGGGUCGCACAGGAGAAAGGCGGUGGGAAUGCCGGUGUCAGCCACGGUGUGACCGGCUCGGCUCACAGGUCUGAGGGUCAGUUGGCUCAGGCAUCGCCCGGUACGACCAGAGAUAGUGACUGAGGAAGAGCAGCCUCACAUCUGGCAGUUUGCCUCUGGGAGAAUUCCAGCGUGACAUCUGCAGCUCUGUGGUUCCAGAAAGGAUGGUUCCCACAUUGAAGAAGACAUCUGUGGGACUGAGUUCCACCGAAAUGCAGAGGAACCAAAAAUGAAAAUGAAAAAUGUAACCAGAGUUGUGUGCCACUAGUUUUAAGCUUUGGUUUUUCUAAAUUAUUUUCUGGCUUCUCCUUCUGGGCUUUGCUGUAAACUUGCCAAGCAUGAGAACAACUCUUCAUCUAUUGAGUGGCAUUUUAAGCCAUCCUGUCAAAGUAUCUCCUGUCAUUUUUAUUAUUAUUACUCUAUAUUGCCUGCAAGACACGACUGGAGAAUUCUUAGUGUAAGAAUUGUUUGUUUCCUCUCUCCUUCUUUCCCACGUUUUCCCAGGGAAGUCAGUCUUGCAUUUUAAUGCAUACUAUAUACAUAUCUCGUUUAGCUUACUGAACCACUUGUUUUAACAGAAUAAAACUGUGGCUCUAGCCUGAGUCAUUUUCCCUAAGAGAUCUUCAGCUCCACCUGGGAUGUGAUUCUUUGCUCUCUGGGAUUGAAGGUAGCUGAAGAGAAAUAGUUACACUUCAGGUUUGUUACAAGACCCAAGAAAUUGUUGCAAUUCCACUUGGAGUCACUGACUUUUCUGAAAUCAUAUAGGGCUUUAAACAAUGUCAAGAUCAGCCAUUUGAUAAGAAAAAUGUUUACCAUUGGAUUGUGAUACACAAUGUGCCUUAAAUAUUGAUAAAUUAGAUGAAUAUUUAUUUUGUAUAUCCAUUAAAAUAGACAGGAAAGAGAAGAUGUUGGGUGUUUGCACAGGCUUUUUAGUCAGUACGGAAUGACAUUCUUCAAGAUUUAAAAAUGCUAAAAUCAUUACUAUUUUCAAGAAGAGGGAGGAAGAAAACGUGGUAAAUAAUAUUUCAUUGCGAAGUGUUUUUCCCUGACUGAUCUAAUUGUGGCCAGAUCUACUUUUUGACGGUGCGAAGUGUACUUUUUAAUGGUGCCAAACAGCAGUUGAUCUAUAAUAACUGCUGCUUGGCACCAUUAAAAAGUACAUAUCUAAAAUUUCACUGUUGAAAUUUGUUCACAAGAACAAAUUGACUGUUAAAAUUAUUCCCUAACCUUAACACAAUUUUUUUUACUCCUGUCAGUAAAGUCAAGCUUAGCAGUUAACAGUUCCCUCCUCCAUGAUCUAUCUUGGAGGCUCUGAGAAGUUCAAAAAGUUACUAAACUAUAACAAUAAUCUCUCUGGCUUGACCAGUCCCUUUCUCAUUGGAUUUUAGGAUGUCAGAGGAUGGGAGAACCUCACAGACAUUCUUUUAUGGAUGAGAACCCUGUGGCCAGCUGAUCUGAGUAAACUGGCUUGCCUAACCACACAGUGCAGAUCUGGUCUUCUGACCCCGGGGGCUUUCCUUCCAUCACCAGGCUUUCUCCUACUCCCAAUGAAGGAAACCUAGUUAACAGAUGCUCCAAAUUUUGAGCCUGUAACCCUUCCAAUCCCUUGCUGCCUUUGAUGGUGAUGCUCCAUCCUAUUAUACCAACUCCACAUUGAAGCAGAACUCUCAAGACAGAGGUAAUUCCUUAGUAAGCAAAGUUAUUUUUCACACUGGAAACAUGUUUGUUUGACUGGUUGUAAUUGUCAUCCUAAACCAUCAUUACCCUUUAUGUUACAACAUUUUAGCAUCUCACAGUUCUAAAUCAACUACUUCUAUUCUCACAGUUCUAAAUCAAAUACUUCUAUUCCUUGCCAUAAGGGGAAUAACAGGUUGCUUUAGCGUCAUUGUUUGUGCCCCCUCACACCCACCCAGCAAAUCCGUAUGUUGAAAUCCUCACCUCCAAUGUGAUGGUGUUAGGAGGCGGAGCCAUAAGUAGAUGAUCUGGUCGAGGAUGGAGCCUUUGUGAAUGGGGUUAGUGC